rnacentral:rRNA from 1 species
CAUGGAGGGUGAGAAUCCCGUUCGGUUAACCAAAGCGCUUUACGAUACGCUUUCAAAGAGUCAAGUUGUUUGGGAUUGCAGCUUAAAAUGGGAGGUAAAUUUCUCCUAAGGCUAAAUAUUGGCGAGAGACCGAUAGCGAACAAGUACCGUGAGGGAAAGAUGAAAAGAACUUUGAAAAGAGAGUUAAACAGUACGUGAAAUUGUUGAAAGGGAAACGAUUAAAGUCAGUCGUACCUACGAGUGAUCAACCUACUCGAGUGCGAUUUUGUGGGUAUGUUAGAGCUUAAAAACCUUCAUGCUUACAAAUUGGUGCUCUUUGGGCGUACUUUCUCGUAUGGUAGGUUAACAUCAAUUUCGAUCGUUAUAAAAUGACUGGAGGAAUGUAGCUUCGACCUCGGUUGAAGUGUUAUAGCCUUUGGUAGAUGUAAUGAUUGGGAUUGAGGAUUGCAACGGAUACCCUCUGGGCUAUUCGUCUGAUCUCUGGAAGUUACCUUGGUGUCGAAAGCGUGCUUACGAUAUUAAGGUUGACGGCCAAUAGGUUAGAACGUGAUUACAUUCGUUAAGGAUGUUGACGUAAUGG